rnacentral:rRNA from 1 species
CUUUGGGUAAAAUGACCCCGUAACUUCGGGAGAAGGGGUGCCUCGGUAGGGUGAAUAGCCCGAGGGGGCCGCAGUGAAAAGGCCCAAGCGACUGUUUAGCAAAAACACAGGUCUGUGCGAAGCCGCAAGGCGAAGUAUACGGGCUGACGCCUGCCCGGUGCUGGAAGGUUAAGGGGAGCGGUAAGCCGCAAGGCGAAGCUGUGAACCGAAGCCCCAGUAAAUGGCGACCGUAACAAUAACGGUCCUAAGGUAGCGAAAUUCCUUGUCAGGUAAAUUCUGACCCGCACGAAUGGCGUAACGACUUGGGCGCUGUCUCAACGAGAGAUCCGGUGAAAUUUUACUACCUGUGAAGAUGCAGGUUACCCGCGACAAGACGGAAAGACCCCAUGGAGCUUUACUGCAGCUUGAUAUUGGACUUGGGUACGAUCUGUACAGGAUAGGUGGGAGCCUGAGAAGCCGGAGCGCCAGCUUCGGUGGAGGCGACGUUGGGAUACCACCCUGAUCGCACUUGAGUUCUAACCUGGUACCGUAAUCCGGUACAGGGACCGUGUCAGGUGGGCAGUUUGACUGGGGCGGUCGCCUCCUAAAAUGUAACGGAGGCGCCCAAAGGUUCCCUCAGAAUGGUUGGAAAUCAUUCGAAGCGUGCAAAGGCAGAAGGGAGCUUGACUGCGAGACCUACAAGUCGAGCAGGGACGAAAGUCGGGCUUAGUGAUCCGGUGGUACCGAAUGGAAGGGCCAUCGCUCAACGGAUAAAAGCUACCCUGGGGAUAACAGGCUUAUCUCCCCCAAGAGUCCACAUCGACGGGGAGGUUUGGCACCUCGAUGUCGGCUCAUCGCAUCCUGGGGCUGAAGUAGGUCCCAAGGGUUGGGCUGUUCGCCCAUUAAAGCGGUACGCGAGCUGGGUUCAGAACGUCGUGAGACAGUUCGGUCCCUAUCUGUCGUGGGCGUAGGAAAUUUGAGAGGAGCUGUCCUUAGUACGAGAGGACCGGGAUGGACGUACCGCUGGUGUACCAGUUGUUCCGCCAGGAGCACCGCUGGGUAGCUAUGUACGGACGGGAUAAGCGCUGAAAGCAUCUAAGCGUGAAGCCCCCCUCAAGAUGAGAUUUCCCAGUAUGUAAGACCCCUGGAAGACGACCAGGUCGAUAGGUUCGAGGUGGAAGCGCCGCAAGGUGUGCAGCUGACGAAUACUAAUCGGUCGAGGGCUUAUCCG